UGACAACAAUUUUGAGUUAUAACCUUGUGGCAAUAAGGUAAGUGUUGUACCAGAAUCGAUUACAAUGUCUCCUCCUGGAGUCGAUCCAGACAUAACUUCUAGUCUUUGGUUUCCUACACUUAUUGCAUCAAUUGUGAGAACAUAAAAGGUUUUGGAUUUAACAAUCAAGGGAGUAGAAACCACUCCUGGACCUGAAACAAUUCCAUUGGUUCCAAAAUUGAUUUUGGUUGAGCUUGCCUGAACCAAACAAUAGGAGAAUUUACCAGCAAUUGUAGUUCGCAUUUGAGAAAUAAGUGAAAUAUCGCCGCCUCCAAGGCCAACAAUUCCGGUUGUUUUUGAAUUAAACAAGCCACCAUUGUUUGUUCCGCAACCAAAGGUUAUUCCAGGCAGAGCCACGGCCUGUCCUGUUGUUGAACCCAAAGUAACAGUUUCGGUAGCAAGAUUGCCAUUUGAGAAGGAUCUAUCUCCAUAAGAGACCGAGUAUUGACAAUUUACCCCAGAGCAAGAUUUUUGGUCAAGAGAUGCACAUUGGCUUGAGGAGCAUGGAAGAGAUUUGUAAGUAGAUGACUUUUUAGGAUCAAAAAGUGGAGAGUCCUGCAUGUAACAUUGUGACGGUGGGCAAGGCUCGCACUGCGUCCAUAUGAGGUCACUUCCUGUAUCAGCAACUGCUAGUAUUUCAGUCGCGGGAGUACCAAUUGAUAUACGUAUGAGAUAGUCUCCGAUAUUGGGUAUUAUAUCAGCUUGGGAAGCUUUUGAUGAAGAUAUUGGUGAGUUCUGAUUAAAGUGAUUGGGACGAUUGGUAGAACGAGUAAAAGCAUUUCUCAAUCGUUGGUAGGGAGUUUCACUGGAGUUGUAAAAGGGAGACUUGGGAGAGUCACGGUGGAUUAGCUCAACACUGAAACCUCCUGUUUGAGCUUCUAUUGGAGAGACAACAUAAAAAAAAAGAAAGAAGAGAAUGAAUGCACAACUCAAGAAGGUUGCCAUAAUCAAAGCUGUGAUUGAGGUAAUAAGAAAGUGGCAACGAGUCUAUGCUUAUAUAGAGGAGGACACAGAGAGAUAAUUUGCAAAAUUUAAUUAAUUUUGAAUAGAAGACCAAAAAUUUAAAAAAAAAGAAAAAGAAAGAAAGUGAGCUUCCAAGAAAAUGAAUCUUUCUUGUGUAGUAAGCUUUUGUUAGAGUGACAAUUAUCAUUGUUGCAACUUGGGUGACAAUUUUUGAAUUUGUUUGGCUUAAAAAUCCUUCUUCUAUGUGAACUUAGCCCAGAUGAAAGGGAAGCAAGCUUAGCCACAUGUCAAUGUAAUCGAGAUUGUUUAUUGGUGAAAUAUAAAUUAUAUAUAUAAACUAAACUAUAAGCAUAAUACUUAUGAGAAUCAUUGAGGACAGCUUAAAACUUUGAUCUUAUCGUCUAAUUACUUGAUGCCUAGCUAUGAUGACAUCACAACAGGUGAAGUAAGCAGGCACUUUCACCGUCUUUAUAUCACGUUUUACUCUUUACGAAGUCUUUCUUUUAUGCAAACGCUUUUGCUUUUUCUUAAGACUUAUUUCUUAAAUAUAUUUUGUUCGACUUUUAGUAUAAAAAUAGCAUAGUCAAUUAAUGCUUUAAAUUUACAAUUGUUCAUCGUUUACCAAGUCUGUUGCCAAUAUAAAUUUCAUAGUCUGAAUGGCUGUCUUGUCUUCAGCCUUUGAUGUGUGAACUUGGCUCACACAAUUGACACGCUUUCAAAGAACCGUCCUGCUUUUUGAGCUUUAAAGAAAACAAAUCAGGGAUGCGAAAUUAACGGGAAACACACAUUAUCGUAUUAAAAUAGUUCAAAUCAAAUGGGGUCGUAUGACAGUCGAAAAGUCUUUCAGUUCAUAUCGUGAUUCCAUGAGUUACGGUUCAUUUACGCAACUCAAGACAGCUACAAGACGCAAAAUUAUUGCUUUAGUAGUUGCUUGAAAGCGUGAUGGGAAACCCCAAUAUCAACGAGAACAAGAUCAUAUCCCGGAGUACAUAUGCAAACCCCAAAACACAACGUUGCUGUUCCCACAAAAAAAUUUCAAAUCCUAAUUUCAAUGUACAAAUCUCCAAGUUUUAUGGAAAUAACAUAAAGUACACAGACACCAAAUACGUAUGGGAAAAAUCUCAGAGUUAACGAAGAAACCCAAGUUUCAAUUAAUGUACCAAUAUCCAAUUGUUAUAAGAAAUAACUCGGAGUACAAACCCUAAAUACGUACGGGAAAAAAAACCGGAGUUAGUUUUUGAGAGAGAGAAAUUAAUUGUAAAUAAGAUGAUGUGUGAAUUUUACAGAGAAAUUGAAAAUUUAAAUUCUAAAGUGAGAAUGUGUGUGUUUAGAGAGAUUAUGCGGAUGAAUAUCAACCAUUAGAUUGUAAGCAUUUAAAAUCUCAUGGAAACUUUUUAACUACCGGUUGAAAAAAUUCCAAAUUACAGUAAUUAAAUUAGUCGCACCCGUUCAUGAAAUAUAAUGUUGGAGACACAGGGAUGUCCGGUCCGGGCGGACCGUAGCUUAGGCCCCUAAUAUGAAUGGUUGUCUCUUCUUUUAAGAUUAACAAUAAUACUCAUCAAGAAACCAAAAUCCAUAGUGACCCUUAAUUUGUGAACUUCAGCUAGCUUGCACAGUCACAUGCUUCCAAAGAAUUUUCCGGAUUUUAAGCUUAAAAGAAAAAAAAAAAAAAAGGAGACGACAAGUAUAUUGGAGAAACAUCAUUAUCACAUUAAAUAGUGUAAAACGGGGUCGUGUGACAUUCAAUUAUUCAAAAAGUCUUUUAGCUCAUAUUUUGAUUGAAUUGCUGUUGACGAAGACUUUAAAAUUAUUUUUAGUAUUGUGGUGUUGGGCUGUUGUAGUUCAUCACUAAAAUUUUUAACACUACUAAAAAUUGGGAGAUUCUCAAAUUUCUCUUUACUCUAAUUAAUAUAUAUCACUUAUUUCCUACCAUUUUUAUAAUAGUUAAUAAUCCUCCGGAUAGUAUAAUUUUACAAUAGUGUCCUUAUUUUCAAAUAUACUUUUAUUCAUAUUUAUUAUAAAUUAAAUAAAUCAUAUUAAUGAAAAUUAAAAUUAAGUAUUAAAAAAACUAUGUUUUGAUGUAAACAAAAAAUUAAUUAUAUUUUUUUGAACUUUUUAUUUUAUAAAAUAUUUUCUUAUAAUAAAUACAUAACAAAAUUAUUAUAAAAUGAUAAAAAAAUAUUAUAAUAAAAAUAUUAUAAAAUAAAUAAUAACACAUUUUUCUUGUACUUUCUACAUUUAAUUUUAAAAUAUUGUGAAAUAUAUAUUAUAAGAAAAUGUCUAUAAAAUAAAAAAGAAUGAAAAAUAGUUUAUUAUUAAUUUUUUUAUUCGCAUCAAAACAUAGAUUUCUUAUUUUUAAUGCUUGAUUUUUUUUUUAUCUUAAUUUCCAUUCAUAAGAUAUUUAAUUUAUAUUAAAUAUGAAUCAAAAUAUAUUUGAAAAUAAGGAUAAUAUUGUAAAAUUAUUCUUUUAGGGGGUGAUUGACUAUUAUAAAGACAGCAGAAGGUAAAUGAUAGAUAUUGAUUAUAGUAGGGAAAAAUUAGCAGUCAAGCAGAAAAUUAUUUUCCCAGUUGUUUUAAAGAUUUUUAUCUUUUUCUCUAAACUUCCAAUUUAAGAGGCGUUUUUUAAUCUAAUUAUUAGAAUUUUAUUAUAUUAAAAUAUCCAUAAAAUUGAAUUCUAGGUUUUCUAAUGGAUUGAUGGUAAUUGAAAAUUUUUAUACAUCAAUAAACAAACUAAUUCAUUAUAUUAUUUUCACAUGCUAUGAUUUUGUUUUAUUUUAGGUGACAACUCAAAUGUUACUGUAUGUUAUAUUAUAUAUAGCAUAGCACGAACCUUCAUUCAUAUGCAAGAGAAUUUGAAAAGAUCAUCCCAACAUUUAAUGUCCAUGCAAAAUUUCAAAUGAAACUAACUAAAUUUCCAACAGAAUGCACACAAAUUGUUAGUUCUCUCUCUCACCCCUUCUCUCCCUCUCUCCAACUUUUACUGCAAAUGAAUAUCUCAACUUGGAAUCCAACAAUAACAAAUCUUAUCAUUUUUGUAUUCUUUAAUAAUAAAUCCUAGCAAGCCCUUGCAGGGCCAGCUCCUUACUUUUUAUGAGCCCUCCUUACUAUCACCAACCUCAACACUCAAAAGGAAUAUAUAAGAGCUCAAAGUUUAAUUAAUUUUAAUUUUAAAUAUCAAAAAUUAACAUGGCGUAAGAAAUUUCAAAAAAUAAAAGGAGUCAAUAAGUAUCCUUUUUACUUCCUUUAGAACUAUUAUUUCAAGAAACUAUUCUUUUUUUUUUAAUUUCAAAAGUGAACCAAUAAAUGUAAUAAUUUUCCUUAUAAAGAAGAGCAGAAGAAAUUUUGUAAUGUUAAAAAUUAAGAUUUUUUUUAAAAUAGAUAAUUAAUUUAAUUUUUUCUUAGAGAAACUAAUAAUAAAUUCAGGAUUAGACAAUAUUAUUAAUUAUAGCUCUUAAACAUUAAGAUUAUUAAAUAUAGAAUUUGUAUAAAGCUUCUUAAUUGUAAGAUAAUUAUUAGUUAAAGAGAACCUAAAAAAUAGGCUUUCGUCUUAUAAGUAAUUUAAGAGUAUACUAAGGAACUAAAAAAUAUGAGUUUUCUUAAUAUAUCGGGUCUAGAUGAUCACAAUGGGGCCAUCCCUAACAUAUGGAGCUUUAGGCGAUCACCUAUUUCAUAAAUACUUAUUGUCACACUUAAGCCCUUGAAUUAAUGAUGUAAUAUGUAAUAGCGGCAAUCUUACUUCAAUUUGUAUGAAUAUAUAAGGCUGUGAUGUCAUGAUAAAAACAAGCAGGUUUUAUAAAAUUUGUGUGUUACUUUCAAUUUUUAACUUACCUGAGUUAAACCUAAACUUGGCCGACAGAAUAAGAUGGUUCCAAGAUUUUUCCAUCAGAAAAGGGAAGAGGAGGGGGGGAAAAACAGGGAUAGAAAAACAACAAAUGAACAUGGGGUUGUCCGUUAGGGUGGGCAAAUUUGGAUUCGGAUUGUUCGGUUUGGUAAAAAAUUCAUCCGAUUGUAAUCUGAAUUCAAAACGGAUCCGAAUCCGAUCUGAACAUAUUGGGAUAUGUUCGAAUCGGAUUUGGAUUGAAUGAAUAAUUCGGAUUAAUUCUUCGGAUCAGUAAUACCAUAAUGAAAUUGGAUUCAGAUGAUCUUAAAUAAAUCAGAUGAAUUCAGAUCGUUUUCGAGUUGCAAUACAAAAUUGAAAUCACACAAAUAAGAAAAAUGCAGCAAACUAGCAAAUGGAGAAAGACAGACAAAACUUGAAAGUCAAGAGACCCAAAUCUCUGUAACUUUUUGAAAGUCAAAGUAUCUAUUCUUAUUCCUCUACAACUCACAAGCUUUGAUGGAUCCGACUCCAUUGGAAACCCUUGCAAUAAACAAAUAAAUGCAGCGGCUGGGUUUGGGACUUCAACUUUUGCUUGCGGCUUCAGCUGGAAGCGCAGCAACGUCUCUGAUUCUUUGGCUGGGUUUGUGCGGCUGCAGACUACAAAUGCUUCUUUGAUUCUUUGGAUGGGUUUGUGCAACAGCAACCUGCAAGUGCUUCUUCCAUUCUUUGGCUGGUUUUGUGCGACUGCAAGGGCUUCUUCGAUUCUUUCUAGUUUGGGAUUUUAAGGAUUUAGUUUGGGGCUGCCGUUCAACUAUUAUUUUUUAUUUAUAAUUCAAUUAUUUAGUUUUUCUAAUUGCAAAGCGCUAUCCGAUCGGAUUUGGAGGUUAAUCCGAAUCCGAUGCCACCCCUUUGGCAGCCAAAAGUCCUUAGGUUGCCAUGAUAGAUUAUAUUGCGCAAAGCUACAGGCCUGCCGUUUGUCGAACCAUUUGAGAAAGAUAUAUGCCAUACGUAGCCGAGUAUUCACAAGUUUCUUCCGUUUAGCAGGAAGGUCUCUCAUAAGCAGUGCAUUGCCUUGAGUCACAAGAAAGAUCUUUGUAAGUCGAGGACUGUUCAGGAUCAAAGAACAGAGCUGCUUGCUUGUAACACUCAGUGAAGGCUUGCACUGAGUCCAUAUAAGAUCACUUCCAGUAUCAGCAAUGGCUAAAAUCUCAACAGGCGGAGUUCCUAUUGAUAUAUUCAUCAUAUACUCGCCAAGGGAUGAGAUUAUGUCAGCUUGGGCAGUGUUUGCUGUGAUAAUAACUGGAUCAAAAUGACUGACACGAUUAACAGACCGUUUCAAGGCCUUUGUGACUCGUUGGUGGUGAGUUUCAUCAGGAUUGUAAAAGGGAGAUUUAGGCGAGUCACGACGGAUUAGAUCAAGGCUACAGCCUCCCUUAGCAUCUGUUAUGGAGACACUAGACAGACAAAGAAUUAAGAAUGAAAUUGGUAAAGCAUUAACAGUUGCCAUGACUGAUUAUAAGAUGUUAAUUUGUAACUAAAAAGAGUACUUUUUUGGGUGUUUAUAUAGGAGGAAAUGGAGUUAAAGAUGAAUUAGAAAUAAGAAAUUGAGAAAGGGAAAAUAAGGAAGGUUCAACGUAUAUAAUCUAGUUUCCUUAUAUACAAUGAUUUUCUUAAAAAUUAACAACUCAUGAUUUCCAUUAUUGCAUGGAUUUUGUAGCAUUUGUUGGCUGUAUAAUCUUCAAGUGAAUCAUGAAAGAAUGUAAUUUAGAGAUGCACGUAAAAAUAUUAACGUUGCAAUUUUCAAAGGUCAAAGGCCAGAUACAAAUACAAUUUACACACAUCUUUUCAUUUCUUUGUACGGAACUAAUUAAAAGAAUCUGAUCGUCAUAAUUAUUAAUAAGGGACCAAAUACAUUCCGUAUUAUUAUUCAUGUUUUUAGCAAAAAUUUUAAACAAGUACAUGUCUUCGACUCAAAUGCUGAAAAUGUUGUUUGCAAAAAAUAAUGGAAAGCAUAGAUCGUUGCAAGUUGGGAACAUUAAAUUCGCAAUCUUUAAUUAAUAGUAUAAGGUAAUGGUAAUAUCAAAGAUGAUGUGGGAUGGUUGUGUAUUACGAGUGAAGUAUCUUUUGGAGGGCACAACUUAGGCUAUAGGUGUCCGUUUUUAGCGUAUAAUAUACUAUUUCGAAGUUUGGCUUUCUAUCCCGUGGAGAAGCCAGAAAUUCUGAUUCUUUCCUAGUAAUUUUUCAUUUUUAAAGAAUUUUCUUUUUUUUAAUUCUUUUUAGGAUUUUAUCUUUUUCUUUUUCUAAAUAUCGGAUUUUAACACCGUUUGUUUUGCUUUUCUUAGUUCAAUUAUGAGAAUUUUAUUAUAAAAUAAUAUUUCGAAUUUAUCUAUUUGGUUAAAUUCUCGAUAUUUAGGGUUAUAUAUAUAAAGGGGUCCAAAAUCCUAAUUUUUUAAAUUCAGGCUUACUCAAUCAAACUUUGUUAUUCAAAAAUUUGUGUUUCGUCUAUCUUUCAGCCCUUUACGUUUCCGUUUCAUCAAAAGGUUUCUUGAGAGUAUGGGGAUUUUGAUUGUUUUAGUUAUUAUUUCCUUAAAUUCAUGCUGGUAAUGCCCAGGAAUAUGUCCAGGGAAAUCAAUCAAGAAAUUCUUUAACAUAAGUAUGAGGUGAAUUUCUAACUGUAGUAAAUACUCGCUAACGAAUAUUAUUUUGUAUUCGGAAAUGUACAUAUUUAGAAUCCGUUUAUUGUCACGAGAUAUGAACGAAGAGCACCCACAUCAAUUUUCAUAAGUGUUUGUAAGGAGGAAAAAAAAAAGUCCAAUUAUUUAAGUGGCUGUGUAUUGUGUAGGUGUAAUAAGCUUUAUAUUUAGAGAAUAUAAGACUUUAAUAUUAUUUAUAUUUCUUUUAUGAUGAGCUCUAUUUGAACCCAUCAUAAUACUCAAUAGAUCUAUUAUUAAAAUUUGAAAUUUCAUCUUUUACUAUAUACUCAAUAUAUCCUUAUCAUCUUUAUAAUUAUUAGCGGAUUCUAGCUCUAAUAUUUAUUUUGUCUUAAUCAUGGUUUUAUUACCAAAUCCUUCAUUAUUGGCUUGUUCCAGUUUUUUUUUUUUUUUUUUCCUUAAAUGAAAAUCUAUCUCAUUUGAAACUCCAUUAAUUUCUUUUUUAACGCCAAGUGUAUUGUUGUUUAAUUUAUAUCAAUGACAAUAAAGUAUUAUAAAUCUUACUACAAAUCAAACUCAAAACAAAUUUGCAAUCUUUUGAUCUUUAUGAGGAGAUCAUUUUCAAAUUCACUUCUUUUUUAGUGGAAGCGUAAUUGUUAAAGUUUCAUAUAGUGCAUUGCAUCAUACAUAAUGUAUGCAAUAAAAACUAAGAAACAAAGCUAAUUAAUUGAAAGGAAGCCUAGAUUAAGAGAAGUUUUACAAAAUAUAAGAAUAAAUAUUAAAGAUUAAAAAUCCAUCAUCUGGUUGAAAAACAAUUGCAGAAAGAUUAAAAAUCCAUCAUCAGGUUGAAAAACAAUUGUAGAGAGGGAAAACAGAGACAAAAGGUUGUAAAACACGUUAAAGAGACAAAAGGAUAUAUAUGUAACAAAAAUAUCUAUUAAAAUUAGGUUCAGGGAGUAUUUGGAUGGAUUUUCUUUCUUUUGAUGUAACUCUGACCAAAAAGGGGUUUUCUUUGCAUUGUAAGUGGAGGUGUUAAUAGCAGCACUAUUUUUAUAUUUGACAACAGAAUACACAUUAACACUAUAUAUAGUCGAACCUCGAUAAAUUAAUAUUUGAUAAAUUAAUAACAUUGAUUAAAUAAUAGUUUUCGCCAAUCCAGACGUGGGCCCAACUUGGUAAAUUAAUAAUUCAAUAAAUUUAUUAGACAAUAAUUGUUGUAGAAAAAUAAGAAAUCUUAUUUUUCUAUAGGACUCAACUAAACAUAAAUUAAUAAUUAACCAAUUUGGAAUUAAACACAUAUGAUAUGUUUAAGAUUUUCUUUGUUGUACUAGCAUAAUGAUUUAUGCAUUCCAUUGGUUAUUGUUAUUUCUCUACAACUUUUAGAAGAGAAGCCAGUGUUGUAUUCUAUGUGAUAGGUUAAGAGAAACAAGAGAAAAAUUGACUUAAUAUAUUGUCUCAAAAAAGUCUUCUUUGAUGUGUUAUCAUCUAAUUGUGAUGCAACCAUGCAAUCUAGCAAAAGAAUUAUCAAGUCAUUGAUUUACUCAAUUAAAAUCAAACUAGAAUCAUAUUAUACAGCUUGAUAGAAUCUCUAUAUUCUUUAAUUACACUACAACAAAAACAGUGUAUGAUAGCAUCUGAAAAAUGCUACCAAAUUAAAGUGAAUGGUAGCAUUUUGAACAAUGCUAAGUUAGCCGGUGUAACUAAAAGUAUUACACAUUAGUAGCAUUUUUUACAUGCCACAAAUUAUGAUACAUAGCAUUGAAUUAGUGCAAUGCAAUUAGCUUUUGUCGCUUUAGGUGAAUGCUAUCAUUGUUCAAAGAGAGCAUUUAGAAAACGCUACCAAAUCGUGUACAGUUCCCUUGCAAUUGUCUAACAUAACUUUUAUUAAAUGCUACAAAAACAUUAACAUCAUGCUAUCAUAGCAUUUCAAUGCCCUUCAUUCAAUUCAUUAAUUCAAUAAAUAAUUUUAGUCAUUCUAUUGAUGAAAAAGAAAUUAUUCUUCAUUCAAUUCAUUAAUUCAAUACAUCAUUUUAGUCAUUCUAUUGAUGAAAAAGAAAUUAUACAUUGUUCGUUGAUAAAAUAAAAAUACUUAAACAUCCAUAAUCAUAUAUCAUACUUCUAUACUUUCUAGUGACCUUUAAAAAAGUAUUAAAUAUUAUCUUCAAUUUGUUCUCACUCUUCAAUACAUUUUUGCAGAAUAUCCUUGAUCACCUGCAUUAUGAAUUUAAAAAUAAAUAAGAAUUUUAUUCUGUUAAUAAAAAAGAAACAAAAUAAUGCUUUCUUAACAAACUUUUCCCAUAUAAGUAAAUUAGAAAAAUUAAGGUGUACACUUAACUUCAAAUCACGCUUACAUUCAUCCAAACCAUUCAACUGUGACAUGCAAUCCAUAAAUGCAAGGUCAUUAAGGAUAUAAUAAGUAUAUGGCAAAAGGAUAAAAAUAGCAAUACCUAAUACGAAAUGAAAAUCAAAUGUUGCAAUAAAUCAACUCAAACAUCAAUAAAGAAAUUCUAUAACUAUAUUUUGUAAUUCGCAUGGAAGCCAUUUUAUUUUUCUUCACAUUCCAUCUACUCAAUUAAUCUUCUGCAGGAGUUUGUACCUAUGUUAGACAUCAAUUUAAGAAUAUGAACGAACUACACAAAUGCAAGGAGCAAUUAUGAUAACUUAUUCAUGCCUUUGUACCAAUUAAAUAUCGCCUUCUACAACAAUUUUUUCUUUUUUUUUUAGUACUAGUGCAUUCAAUUUAACCUAAAAGAAUUAUGUAUUGAUGCUAAUCAUAUAAACAAAACACGAGGCUAUCACGAAUUUUGAGAGACUUUUGAGAACUUUCAGCAUUUAGUCCUUUUGUAUGGGCACAAUCUAAAUAAUCAAGCAAUAUGGGCUUAUUGAUAACCUUGUUUGUGUCUAAUGACCAAUUUAAUAAGUCAAAUUCAAGUUUUCUAGCUUAACAAAUAAAACCCAAAAACUACCAAGAACAAAAAAAUUUAGAUUAAUUUAAAUCUUCAUUUAAACAAAGCAAAAAGAAAACCACGAGCAUGAGACUAAAUUCAGCAAGAUAAAUCUUCACUUAUGGAUCGCACUUAAGCAUCAAUUGGUUGGAAAAAUGCAACAAUAACCAUUACCCUAACCAGACAGAGGGAUUGAUAUUAGUAUAUAAGAAAUAAAAUCAACUCAAUAAGAGAAGUGACAAAACAACAGAAUCAACAGUACAGCCAACAAAAACAACAAAACUGAAAUUAGUAAAGGAAAGUCCACAAAUAAUGAGACAUCAUAAAGAUCUACCUCAACUGAAGUCUUCCCUCCUUUAAAAUGCCAAUGCAACCCAUAUAUGUUGUAGCUCAAGAGAAAAUUCUGGCUGUUAAGAAUCUGCAAGUUCUAAUUAAAUCAGUACAUAUUCUCAAACUUAGAAACUGCACAACAGUUGCAGUGCCAAGUUUGUAGACACUACACAUCAAUCAACUCAUUUCUCUCUUUCACAACAUCACAAUAUUGAUGCAAAACUUUAGCUAUAUGCAUUGUCUAGUUGGAAACCGACAGAAUGAUUCUCUUAUCACCCUCCCUAAAGAAAUACUAAAAUGAAAGGUCUAAAUUUUAAUCUCUAUUGCUUUUCCCUUUUUGCAUCAUCAGGCAAUUAUAUAACAAGUUUGCAAUUUAUAUGGAUGAUGACGAUGAUUGUCAUCAUCCUCAAUAGUCAUAAUAAUAAUAAUAAUUUAGUGCGUACAUCGAGUCCCAGAUACGUUAAACAGCGUUGAGUUCACGACUUAAAAUCAUUAAGAAAUCAUGGGACUUUAAAAGGAUCUACAUCAUAACCCAAUUUGUUGAAAUAUAGCACAAAAAUUUCACACUUAGGCAAGGGAAAAAAAAAGGUAUUAAAAAAAAUAUCGAAAGAAAUCUUUCCGAUGAUUACAGACUACUACAAGCUGUAAACAUUAACAGCAAGAAACAACUAAACGGUGGUUUCAAGCAAGAUGAGGCAGGGACAGACAAUUAACUAAAGACCAAAAGCAUGAACGUAGAUUAAAUUCUAAUAGAUGUCCAUAUACCCAAAUUUAUAAGAUACAAUUUUCAGAUCCACCUCAGUAUUUGCUAACUAAAAAGAAAUAAUUAAGAUGAAAAAACCUAUUAUGUGAAUGAUAUACAAAAUUUCGGAUUGUUAAGGCACAAAUGAGAAUUUUCAUGGUCUUUGAUAUAUUACUUCUAAAUGUAAGAAAAAUAAAUGAACCAAACAUACAAGAAAUUGCUCCAAAUAAAAUGGAAUCAACAUAAGAAAUCCUAUAUUGACAAUUGAAAACCCUAAAUUCGGUAAAUUAAAUUAAAAAAAUUAAAGCUUACAUGUAAAUAUUCAUGAUAAAGAUUUGAGGGAAGACCCAACAACAACAAGCCUUGAGACAAUAAAGAAUUAAGGAUCAGAACUUUUUGAUUUUGAGAGAUCUAAUUAUACUACCACACUUCAUAAAAGUCCCUAUUACGAACGUGAUAUUAUCUUUAUAAAUUAAUAAAUUAUUAAUUUAUCGAUAUACUAAUACUAGCUAAAUUAAUAGAUUUUUCAUGGUCCCGAGGUUAUAAAUUAUCGAGGUUUUAUUGUAUAUGGUGUUACAAUUAAUUAAAAAACUACAUUAAUACCAUAUAAUUUUAUAGUUGUUUCUAUAACGAUUAGAUAAAUAUCAUUUUUCAAUGCUUUAUAUAAAGAAAUUAUGGGGAUUUAAUUAGAUUUAUAUUUCUUCUAAUAUGAUGGAAACAAGACACAGGGUUUUAUUUGAACUAUAGUGGCGUGUUUUAGCGGCGUUCUUUUCAUAUUUAGCAAAGCAAUUAACUGAGGAGUUGGACUAUUGGUUAUGACCAAUGUUUUAUGAUCUCGGCCCACACAAUAACAAUAAGAUGGUUUAAAGAAUUUUUCCUUCUUUGAGGUUAAAGAAAAGCAAAGGGAGAUAAAAAUUAGGGGGACCGAAAACCAGCAGAGUCAAAUGCACGUGGUCUUCGGAUCGUCGUAUGGAAGCAUAAAAGGUCUUAAGUUCCCAUUGAGGGAAAAAUUAUUAUCGGUGACUGAAGACUUAAGAGUCAAGCACCACACGACAACCCAAAAGCUUUUAUAUAUAUUGAAAGAAUGGGCUAUGGGAAUUAUAGAAACUGAUCAGAAUAAUUAAGGCUCCGUUUGGUACAGCUUAUUAAAUAGAGCUUAUAACAGUAGAGCUUAUAGCAGUAGAGCUUAUACUAAUAGAGCUUUUGGACAAAAAGUCAUUGGGUGUUUGGUUGUUAAUAAAAAAAGUACUUUUGAACCAUUAAACUAUGUGAUAUUUUUUAUAUUAUAAAUUUUUAGAAAAGCUCUCUAACCUCUACUCCCAAAAGCUCAAAUUUUGGGCUUUUGCUAGUAGAGGUAAAUUAGCUUAUUUAAGCUAAAAAAACUCUACUAAAAAAAUAACCAAACACCAUAAAAAUUUUUAAAAAGUGCUUAUACGAUUAAAUAAGCACUUAUGCCUCUUAAAUAAGCCAUACCAAACAGGCACUAAAUCUUAAUUAUAUACUAUUGUUAGCUUAUACUUUAGUAAUUAAUACAAAAGAAAAUACAGUGAAGCAGUUAAUUAUGUCAAACUGUUAGAAAGUGUUGAGUGGAAUAUAUAUCGUAGCUGUUGGCGACUGAUAGAUGAUUGUUAAUUAAUAAUGGACCAGUUAUUGUGUUUUGUGUUGAUUUACUGAUUGACGAUCUUUUGAGUGACACAGUGACACAAAUAACAUCAAAUAUCUUAAUUUAUGCCUUAUUGAUUCAAAACCAAACACAGUAAAACGAGCUAAUCGUUCGUAGGAUGAUACAAUCUUGCGAACUACAAAAUUAAAACCAAGCUUCACAGACUCGCCCACCCCCCCCCCCCCCCCCCCGGGGGGGCACCCCAGUAAUAUUGCAACUACAUUUAUUUUUUCAGAUCCAGUUGCAUUAGAAUUUGAAAUCGGUCGGUCGGCCGAAGAAAGUGGCUUCAAAGUCACUCGACAAAACUCCAGUAGAGUGGAGACUAUCACUUAAGCUUCCCAAUUAAUUACUGCUUGGUGCAAUCUGUCGGUUUAAAUGACACAGUUUGUUGUUCUAUGUCAUAGCCGACCAAAAAGUUGGUCUGCAUUAUAUUACCAUAAAUUGGCACGCUAUUGGUACCUGUAAAAACAGAACACAGAAUAUCCUCCGAGACCUUCACAAAAAAGUUGGAAGGACUCAAUUUCACAUCUGCACCUCUGAAAUGUAUUGUAACUUCAGGAACUUGAGAUAGUGAAUUAAAACUGUAGCAAAGUUCAAGUGAUCCUGUAGGGUCUGCAACAGGUUGUGCCUCAAUCAUACUAGACAUUACUGACAACAAGUUUGAGUUAUAACCUUGUGGUAAAAAGGUAAGUGUUGUACCAGAAUCGAUUAUAAUGUCUGGAGUCGAUACUCCUAGUCUUUGGUUUCCUACACUGAUUGCAUCAAUUGUGAGAACAUAAAAGGUUUUGGCUUUAGUCAAGGGAGUAGAAACCACUCCUGGACCUGAAACAAUUCCAUUGGUGCCAAAAUUGAUUUUGGUUGAGCUUACUGGAACCAAACAAUAGGAGAAUUUACCAGCAAUUGUAGUUCGCAUUUGAGAAAUAAGUGAAAU
rnacentral:lncRNA from 1 species